AAACUUUCAACAACGGAUCUCUUGGUUCGUUGCAUCGAUGAAGAACGCAGCGAAAUGCGAUAAGUAAUGUGAAUUGCAGAAUUCAGUGAAUCAUCGAAUCUUUGAACGCACAUUGCGCCCCCUGGUAUUCCGGGGGGCAUGCCUGUUCGAGCGUCAUU
rnacentral:rRNA from 1 species